rnacentral:rRNA from 1 species
CCUACGGGUGGCAGCAGUGAGGAAUAUUGGUCAAUGGGCGGGAGCCUGAACCAGCCAAGCCGCGUGAGGGAAGAAGGUACAGCGUAUCGUAAACUUCUUUUGUCAGGGAACAAAGGCGGGGACUAGUCCCCGGUUGAGGGUACCUGAUGAAAAAGCAUCGGCUAACUCCGUGCCAGCAGCCGCGGUAAUACGGAGGAUGCGAGCGUUAUCCGGAUUUAUUGGGUUUAAAGGGUGCGUAGGCGGCCUGUUAAGUCAGCGGGAAAAGCCCGGGGCUCAACCCCGGCGAGCCGUUGGAACUGGCGGGCUGGAGUGGGAGGGAAGUACGCGGAAUGCGCGGUGUAGCGGUGAAAUGCUUAGAUAUGGCGCAGAACCCCGAUUGCGAAGGCAGCUUACCGGCUCCACACUGACGCUGAGGCACGAAAGCGUGGGUAUCGAACAGGAUUAGAUACCCUAGUAGUC